rnacentral:rRNA from 1 species
AGUGAACGAUGGCGGCGUGCCUAAUACAUGCAAGUCGAACGGAGUGGCGCACGGGUGAGUAAUGUAAAGCUGAUCUGCACUAAACUAGCGGAAAACAGUUGGAACCGACUGCUAACAAUCUAUAGUGUAGGAUGAGGCGCUAUUGUAUCAGCUAGGUGGUGAGGUAAUGGCCCACCAAGGCUAUGACGCAUAACUGGUCUGAGAGGAUGAUCAGUCACACUGGAACUGAGACACGGGCCAGACGCCUACGGGAUGCAUCAGUAGGGAAUAUUGCUCAAUGGGUGAAACCCUGAAGCAGCAACGCCGCUUGGAGGAUGACACUUUUCGGAGCGUAAACUCCUUUUGUUAGGGAAGCGGUACCUAACGAAUAAGCACCUGCUAACUCCGUGCCAGCAGCCGCGGUAAUAC